rnacentral:lncRNA from 1 species
CAAUCACAUUCCUGGAGCUCCACAGAGGACACUGCCCUGCUCAUUGUUGCCGCUCUUGCUGAGAGAUGCUUCACAUCAGAAACAUGAGUGCAGCAGGAGAUAUCCAUCCCAAGUGGCACCAAAGAGAGAAAGGAAUGAAUUCCUCAUGGAAGGCGCUCUAUGGACAAUUCCUUUUUAUCUUCACAAGUCCUGGAGAAACAGCAGUGGAUUGCCCUGCCUUACUUCACCCCUGGGCUGGUCCCCUGCAUGUGUCUCUCACAUAAGGAGCUCUGAUUGCUCUCCUCCUUUUCUGUUAAAAACAUCCAAGAAAUGGCAUUCAGAAGGAAGUUAAAAAAGGAGGAGGACAAAGGAGCACAGGUAGGCCUUUUCCAAGUGAUUUUUCUAAAACAAAAAAUCAAAAUUAACUAACCUUAUGCCAAAAGUUGUAUAAGAGUACAAAAAUCUCAGUUUUGUUCUACCUUCUU